CAGGGUUUGUGAGGGGGAGAGAGGUGAGAUGUGGAUUGCAAGAAGUAGUCUGUGGCCGAUUAUAUCAGGCUUUGGAGGUUUUUUAUAAGGAUCUGGCUUUUAUCCUAAAUAAGCUAGGGAGCCAAUGAAGGGUUUUGAGCAGAGAAGUGUCAUGAUCUAAAUCAUAUGUUUAAAGCAUCAGACUGGCUGCUGUGUUGAGAAUAAACUGGUGGGCUAAGGCAGCAGGAGGGAGACCAGCUAGGAGGUGAUUGCAGGAAGUCAAGCAAGUGAUAAUGGGCUUGUACCCAGCUAGUGGGGUUCCAGUUAGUGAUGUUGAAAGUGUUGAAAAGUGUUCCGUUUCUGCUUUUUUUUAAAUGUGAAACCAACAGGACAUGCCAGUGAUUAUAAAGCAUAUGAUGAUGAUAUAGGAUAAAGGAAGAGAGGAGUUAAUUAAAUAUGACACUGAUGUUUUUAUCCUGAACAAAUGGAAGGAAGGAAUUGCUGAAAUAGAGACGUCUCUGAAGAGCAGAAGCUGUUUUGAACAUUGCAGUUUGAAAUACCUAUUAGACCUCUGCUUGGAGAUCCCAAACAGGAAAAAUCAGUGGUUAUGGUCAGAAAGUGGGAAGCUUGAAGUUGAGAUUAUCAAGUUAAUAUCAGUGCAGUCAUUGGUAAUGAUAAGUUCUAGGAUCUAAGCAAUGGGAAGAAAGAAGUUGGCUGAAGAAAUGAUGGAAAUUAAUUAUAUAAUUGAAGAAAAAGAAGUCAAGGCACUGAGAGCAUGUUCAGUUGGCAGAAAUUCCAUGACAGCAUCUACAAGGGCAUAUUGGAGAGAGUGAGGCCCCAGCCUGCAUCCCUUUCUACAGAAGUAACAACAAUUUCCAGUUUCUGAGCCUUUCCAGGGUUGUACAGUAGGUAUUCAUUUGCUUUUUGAUAUUUUCCACAGCAAAGCAAACUUUCUUGCUGCUCUGUUAACUUCGUUACCACUCACCCGUCUGCCUUCUGUCUUCCAACAUUUUGUUGCUAGCUCUUGUCUGCUGUUGCCUCUUCUGUUCUCUUUAUCCUUCCAGGUUUUAUAAGAUUGUUUUUAUUCCUUUUCAGUCAUUUCAGAGAGGCUUCAGGAUGGAGUUGUGAUAAACGCAUGUGUUCAGUCUACAAUGUUUAACAGGGAGUGCCUCUUGAUUUUUUCAUGUGAAUUACUGAGGAGUAGGUAGUAGACUAUCUUGAUGCCCUUCCUCAUGUCCCUUUGACUCUGAGUUGACCUGCAGCUGCAGUGAACACUUCCUAAGGAUGCUGAUGUCUUCCCCUAUCAAGCACUUGCCUCAUUCUGCUUCUCCGAGGAUUUCCUCCAGUACACCAAGAGCUUGCCCGACACUCACAAGGUAUCCUGGAACUGCUGGGGACUGAAAACCCCUCAACCCAUGAAGAAUGAGGAUCAGUGGAUUAAUAGCAACUGUCCCAUACCUUGGUGGGACUAUUAUAAGGCAUUCUGGUUGGUUCCUCAGAGGUCCCAAAUGGGAUUGAACCAAAGUUGCCCACAGUAAAAACUCAUUCACCAACUCAAUUUUCAUUUCACCCCUCUCAAUUUGCACACUCACUCACUUGUUCUACCUGGGAUACUCUCCAAGAUAAACUCCUGUAUCCAAAGCUUUGUCUCAAGGUCUCAUUUGGGAGGAACUCAAACUAAGAUAAUAGGUACUGGAAGUGACUACAGAAAGUAUAUUAUCAAUGGUAUGGAGGCAACAAAAACCCCAUUAAUGGUGGUGAGUAAGGUGGUGACAAACCCUGGCACUUUGAAGAAUUUCAUUACCCACAAUUGACCCAUGGUGUACUUGGAUGAGGUAAAAAUGAAAGGAGACGCUAACCUUAUGCAAUAGUGCUAACUCCUGAAAGAUAUAGGGCUGUGAUAAUCACAGGAAUUGAAGAGUUGUCUUGUUCUUGUUAACUCCCCUAGAAGAAUUGGGAAAAAAGAAAGAUAGGUUUACAACAUCCAACUACCCAUUCAGAGCAUAGCAAUGAAAGCCAGAAGGUCUCCUUGGGAGAAUCUGAAGAGACCCCCAUUUCCUGCAACCAGAGGGCAGGCUGUUCUAAAAAAAUGACAUUCAGGGGUUCACUGCAAGAGGAAUUGAACUACAGAGCAGACUGAAGACACAGUCCAGGCAGGCCUCUCAUGCAAAAGUCAAAGCCCUAGAGGAAGGAAAUGGUCCUUAAAAACUACUGGGAUGCAGGCAGGCAUCUGGAUAGAUGUGCUAGAUAACCUUGAACCCCUAGAUUCCCUGAACAACCCAGGCUAGCAGGAGUAUCCUGCACCCUGUUACUUGAACAGAACAGCUUCCCUUUGCCUAGAGACUCUACACAGUCCUCCUCUGAAGCAGACACCUCCAAGAUUACUUCAAGGUCUGCUACUUCCUGCCCUCAUUGCCUCUAUUCCAAAAACUGGAAACAAGUCUCAGCAUGCCCUGAGCAGGGUAGCACAUUUCUUGCUGUGAGAGAUAUGACAGAUUGUAUUUUCUAAAGAAGGCUGCAACCAUGUCUCUCAUCCCAAAUGCUCUUCUACAAUGCAAUCUUGUCACUCCUCUACCAAGAGAUGAAACCUAAUUUCAAUGCCCUUGAAUCUAAGCUGGACUUUACUUGCUUUGACCUGUAAUGUACAGAAGUGACACUGUGUGAUUCUUACAGCUGAGUCAUAAAAGGUGAUGCAGCUUCUGCCUUGUUCCUGGGGACAUAUGCCUCUGUGAGAUUGAGCUACUAAAUAACAAGACCACCUACCUUGAGGCUGCCAUGCUGGAAGAAAGCAAAGCCACAUGAAGAGCAAGUAAGCUGGUUGCUUUAGCAAGAUCCUUCAUAUUGAUAGUGAAUGUGCACUUCUGUCUUUCUCUUGUGAAUGCAAACCACUUUUUCAAUAGUCUCACGUUAAGUGCCAAAGAUUGUUGUUUUUGUUGAAUGCAUUCUCUUUAUCAUUCACUACCUGGCCCUAGGAAUUUGUUCAAUGAUCCUCAUUUCUGUUACAAUAUAGUCUUCAGUGACCUUGAUCAUCUUCACAUUCUAUAGAACAUCAUCCUGGCCCAUUAUAUUAAUGACAGAAUAAUAAUUGAACUUGGUUUUUAGGAAGGAGCAAGUAUACUGGUUUUAAAUACUUCAUGCUGAAGGAAUGAGAGAUAAGCCCUACAAAGUUUUGGAAGUCUGCCACAUCAGGGAAUAUUUUAGGGGCCCAAAGAUCCAGGGGUAUGUUGAGACACCCUACUCAAAAGAAUACUUUACAUUUCCUACCACUAAGACAGAGGCACAGCACUUGGUGAGCUGCUUUGAAUUCCUGAGGCAAAAAAAUAACAAUAAUAAAUACUACCCAUGAGAAUAAUGCUCUGAUCUAUUGUAUCAGAAGACUAUUGACUUUGCGGGGGUCUGAGAGAGUAUCUGAAUAGCCUUUUAAAGACUUAAAAAGGCAUUGGCUUAGGAAUUGCACCUUGCAUGGCUAGGUCAUUGUCCUCGAGGAUACAGCAUAUUUGUUGAACCAGUGAUCACUAUAUGCAAUCACUGUGCUGUUUUCCCAGCAUUUGGAAUACACAGGAAUGAUAAUUAAAGGAUACAAGUAGGACUGACUUAAACACACUCCCUUUCACCCAUUAGUGGAAAUUAUGUUUUUAAUUCUUACAACUUUAGGCUCUUCCUGAUUAAAAGCCUUGGUCUCAAGGUGUGUGUACAGACGGAGACAGUAAGUGUUCCACUGCAUCAAUGCAGUGCCAUCUGAGGAUUUGGGCAUCUCCAUACUGACAGGUCAGCAGGCAAAAAUGGGAGUACUAUACUGGCAGGGACACCUGACUGAUUAUCUUGAAGAGUCGGAGUUGCUGCUACAUAAUGGGCCCAGGGAGGAAGAUGUCUAGAACUUGGGGGAAUCACUCAGGCCCCCCUUAGUGCUUCUUUGUCUGGCGAUAAUAGCAGAGAAGCAAUUGAAGUAGCCAUGUCCUCACAAGGGCAAGGUAAUCAAGGCCCAGCCACUCAGAGAUGAAGGUCUGGUCAUACACUGAGCAAGCAAUGAUGACUAGUGGAAGUGCUAGCCAAGGAUUCGGGAAAUCUAGAAGAAGUGGAAUUGGAGAGAGAUGAUGAGUAUAGAUUAUAGCCUUGGGACCAGCUGCAGCAGUGAAGAUUGUGACUUGUUCCACAUAUUCUUCUAUUUUCAGUCAUUUUUGGAGAUUGCAGCCAGCUACAACUCUGAAAUGUCAGUAACAGAGCAAACUAAGGGUGGGCAUGAGAGGAUCUGCUGAGAGCAAGGAAUGAACAUGGUAGUCACUAAUGAUACACUGCCCAUGUUCCCCGGCUCACCUGUUAGCUCCCCGGCAGCUUGCAAACAUGUCUAUACACACUGCCAUCUUCCUACCACGAGUGCCAUAACUCUCUGCUUCUCUGCUGAGGCCCUUCUCAGCUCACAGUGCGAGUAGCCUGCAAGUGCUAAGGGCAUAAUGCCUCCAAGGUCAACUUUAAUCAACGAGGUUCAAGAGUCAGAAGAGUGAAUUCCUUCUGAGAUACAUUCUUUCUGGUUUCUCAGAGGCUCCCCAGAGGAAGUAGGCCCCAGUUGCUUAGGAAAAAUGGAACCUACUUAUUAAGGCACCCCCUUUUUACUUUUCUCCUUUCUUUCUCUCCCUUUCCCCACUCCAUUCCGUGAAGUUCCUGGGAUCACCAAAUAAACUAUCUGUAAUCAAAUCUUUAUCUCACUCUGCAUUCUGGGGAACCCAAACAAAGAUGGUAAGUUUGCCUAUCUACAUUUAUGUCUUAUUUGCUACAAGUAUUACUGGUAAUUUUCUUGACAAAAGUAAUAUGAUAUCUGCUGAUAGGCCAAAAUAAUACAUAUUUAUAGUGAUAACUGCAGCAAAAAUGUGAAAACCAAUUUUAAAAAGUUAUUUUCACUAGUUUAAGAAAAAUGAAGAAAUUGAACUUUUAAAAAAUGCAGUAAUACCUCCUAACACAUUAUGAAGAGGAAUAUUUUCAUAACUGUAGAAAUGGUUGGUAAGGCUGUCAACUAUCCAAGGAUUAUAUUGAAAUAGCUGUCAUUGGCCAACUACUAUGACUAAUGAAAUCAACAUUUUCACCAUGCAGGCAAAAUAAACGUCAUGAGUCAAAUUUAAGAGGUAUUUCUUUUUUUCUUUAAAAGUUGUUGAACUAUCCAGGUUACUCAACCCUCAGUUUUUCAUUUUACAACAGAGUUUUCACAUACACAAAUACACAUACACACACAUUUGCAUUCAGACAUAUUCAGACAUACAUGCACACAUCUUUUAGCAUUUUAAAUAUUUUCAAAGUGUAGCUCUACAGACUCAUGCAUUUUAACUUUGGUAAUGCAUGCAGUAUUCCCUUUGGAAUGCAGCUUAUGAAGAAAUCCACGCUGGGGGCAAGUAUAUAGUAAUUCUUUCUUUAUCUCCUGCAUAUAUUAGGAAACCCUCCAGGAGGGUUAUUACUAAGACAAAUUUAGAAAGACCUCCACAUUCACAGAGACAAAAAUAUCAGCGGCAUCCUGAAAAAGCCAAUGAGUGAUCAAAAAUCAGAAAUAAACAAGCUUUGCUCAUUUUAAGCCAUAUAAAUAUUUGUUGAAUAAAUCCUGUUUUGUUUUCACUUUUGAUGGGAUGUUAGUUUGUGAAAUCAAAUGAUACCCAGAUUCUUUCUUCCCAUAGGUUUAUAAAUACCCAAAUAUGGCAUAUUUGACUCCAUAUACAGGCUUUGUUGAACAUGGAUUGUUUUUGUCUACCUUUCUCCAUUUCAAUCACAUGGUUCUAGUGUGAACUUCUAAUUAUGGACCCCUGAUCUCUCUGUUCCAGUCAAAGGGCAGGAAUGUGGUUAAUUACCAUGCAUCAUGCACUGUCUUUAGUGAUUAUUCUAAGAGGCUAUGAAAGGUAAACCAAUCAGAGGCCUUCACCAGGAUUCUGAAGUGGAGCUCCACAAGGAAGAAGAGCUUUCUUUGUUAAUGAUGAUGUCUGGAAGCAGCCAUGUAACUCCACCCCAUGGAGACAGCUGGUAUAGAAGAAUGAAGCCAAAUUGUAGGGACAGGUGAUACCAAGUGUAAGGUCCUCAGUUCUAGAGUUGGAGAAUCCCACUGCCCAACUCUGUGCACCCUGUCUUCUGGGGUUUGGUUGUUCCCUUCACAAGCUUUCUGGGAGCACCUAUUGUAUCUCUCCCCGUAUUCCUCCAUGGAGCUCAAAGUAAGCCACCUUGGGUUUCCACUGUUUACAACCAAGAGCUCUGAUAUAUGUGCUGCAUUUACUUUUGCUGUUUUAUCAAAUACUUACAAACUCAACUGCUUAAUUAGGCAAAGCAUUCUAUUGCUUUUCCUUUUUGAUAUCUCAGUAAUUGAUUUCUAAGGAAGAGAGGGCAUCUUGCUGGGAUUGUUUUCACCUAUUGCUCUUUUGCCCAGCCUCACCCAGCUCAGAUAUUGACUAAAGCCGUUCAACUCAGCUGGUCUGGCUACAGAGUACAGGGGUAGGUGCGCACCAUGGCUCAGGUGCAAUAACGACUGUAGCUUCCCAAAUUGUAAUGUCAGGUUACCAAUGUCGAGACGAAUUGGGAUUGCCUAAGUGAUUCCCUGGGUACACUCACCUUUUUACCCAAUGAUAAAAACGAGAGAUCUCAACAAAAUAGCUCUUAUCUAUUAUGCUGCAGACUGACAAUUCUUUUUUUUGUUUGUUUGUUUUUUUGAAGACAGAGUCUCACUCUG
rnacentral:lncRNA from 1 species